AGCUACUUGCACUUGAAGAUCAGCUGAGAGUUUAUGAAGAGCAGGUUACUGAAGUGGGUAGUGUAUCAGAAAGAAGAAAGCUUGAACUGGAAGAGUCUAUUAUGAAAUUACAGAAAUUAGAUGGACUUGUAGAGGAAUUGCAAAGCAAGGUCACACAAUUUGAAACAGAGAAUGAUGGUUUAGCCGGUGCAAAUCUGAGUCUUUCUGAGGAACUUGCAGCAUAUGAAGCAAAAAUGAGUGAGUUACAAAUGACAUUGAAUGCAGUCGCUGCCGAAAAAGAGGAUACAUCAAUACAGCUUCAUGGUUCGAGAAAAACAAUAGAUGAUCUCACGCAACAGCUAGCUUCCGAGGGAGAGAAACUCCAAUCCCAGAUAUCUUCACUCAUGGAGGAGAACAAUAUGCUGAAUCAAAUGCAUCAAGAUGCAAAGAGUGAGCUUCAAUCCAUAACGGCCCAAUUGGAAGAACAAAUCAA
rnacentral:misc_RNA from 1 species